UUUCUAGAGAACUGUUGUUUCUGUGUUAUACCUGAGUGUUGUUUACUGAUUAUAUUGAACUAAAAUCUGCUCUAUUUUCUUUAUUGAGAUAGGCAUGGAAAGGAGCAAUAAUACACGCAACACUGAACAGGACCAUGCCCUCUUCUAAAUGACAUUAUGGACUUCCCGACACUUGAAAAUGGAUGGGCUUGGCCAGAGGAAAUACUCAGAAUGAAGGAUUGCAUCUUCCGACCAGAAGCAGGUGCUGAGGAUGGAUAUGACAUCAAAACAGAAGGUCUG
rnacentral:lncRNA from 10 species